UAAUAUGAUGAAAUCCUUCGUAUCGUCAUCCUUAGUCGUAUGCCUUGUCACCGGCUCUUUGUUGUUGUCUCUGACAGCUCAAAGCACUGGAUCAUACGAGGCGAUGACGAGACAUAAUCUUCUCUCUGAAAUC
rnacentral:miRNA from 1 species